rnacentral:pre_miRNA from 1 species
UUGGGGAAAAAGACAUCAUCCCUUGAGAUAAAAUUAGGUUUGUUUCCUUUUACUCCUAAAAUCUUUUUACCGUGGGUAAAAAGAAUCAAUAUGGGGUAUAAAAGGAACCAAAUUUAAAUUUAACUCAAGGGGUCUUGAUGUUGUUUUCCCCAA